AUGAACGCUAGCUACAGGCUUAACACAUGCAAGUCGAGGGGCAGCAUUUCAGUUUGCUUGCAAACUGGAGAUGGCGACCGGCGCACGGGUGAGUAACACGUAUCCAACCUGCCGAUAACUCGGGGAUAGCCUUUCGAAAGAAAGAUUAAUACCCGAUGGUAUAAUCAGACCGCAUGGUCUUGUUAUUAAAGAAUUUCGGUUAUCGAUGGGGAUGCGUUCCAUUAGGCAGUUGGUGAGGUGACGGCUCACCAAACCUUCGAUGGAUAAGGGUUCUGAGAGGAAGGUCCCCCACAUUGGAACUGAGACACGGUCCAAACUCCUACGGGAGGCAGCAGUGAGGAAUAUUGGUCAAUGGGCGCAGGCCUGAACCAGCCAAGUAGCGUGAAGGAUGACUGCCCUAUGGGUUGUAAACUUCUUUUAUAUGGGAAUAAAGUUUUCCACGUGUGGAAUUUUGUAUGUACCAUAUGAAUAAGGAUCGGCUAACUCCGUGCCAGCAGCCGCGGUAAUACGGAGGAUCCGAGCGUUAUCCGGAUUUAUUGGGUUUAAAGGGAGCGUAGGUGGACAGUUAAGUCAGUUGUGAAAGUUUGCGGCUCAACCGUAAAAUUGCAGUUGAUACUGGCUGUCUUGAGUACAGUAGAGGUGGGCGGAAUUCGUGGUGUAGCGGUGAAAUGCUUAGAUAUCACGAAGAACUCCGAUUGCGAAGGCAGCUCACUGGACUGCAACUGACACUGAUGCUCGAAAGUGUGGGUAUCAAACAGGAUUAGAUACCCUGGUAGUCCACACAGUAAACGAUGAAUACUCGCUGUUUGCGAUAUACAGUAAGCGGCCAAGCGAAAGCAUUAAGUAUUCCACCUGGGGAGUACGCCGGCAACGGUGAAACUCAAAGGAAUUGACGGGGGCCCGCACAAGCGGUGGAGCAUGUGGUUUAAUUCGAAGCAACGCGAAGAACCUUACCAGGUCUUGACAUCGAUCUAAAGGCUCCAGAGAUGGAGAGAUAGCUAUAGAGAAGACAGGUGGUGCAUGGUUGUCGUCAGCUCGUGUCGUGAGAUGUUGGGUUAAGUCCCGCAACGAGCGCAACCCUUGUUGUCAGUUACUAACAGGAUUUGCUGAGGACUCUGACAAGACUGCCAUCGUAAGAUGUGAGGAAGGUGGGGAUGACGUCAAAUCAGCACGGCCCUUACGUCCGGGGCUACACACGUGUUACAAUGGGGGGUACAGAAGGCAGCUACCUGGUGACAGGAUGCUAAUCCCAAAAGCCUCUCUCAGUUCGGAUCGAAGUCUGCAACCCGACUUCGUGAAGCUGGAUUCGCUAGUAAUCGCGCAUCAGCCAUGGCGCGGUGAAUACGUUCCCGGGCCUUGUACACACCGCCCGUCAAGCCAUGAAAGCCGGGGGUACCUGAAGUACGUAACCGCAAGGAGCGUCCUAGGGUAAAACUGGUAAUUGGGGCU
rnacentral:rRNA from 1 species